UUGUCCCCCAUGUUGCCAGUCAUGUAGGCAAUAGGCAUGUAUUUGUAGCGCAAAAAGGGAAAUGCAGUUUAGUUUAAAAAGAGGCUGACCUGUUCAAUUUGUCGUACUACUUUUAUUGGUUACAUAAAUUAUGGUGGGUAGCUGGCUACUUUGCUUUGUCGAUUCCACUGUUGCGAGCUAGGCCUACAGACAAGUCUGGCGCAGGUUGGUGCAGAUCUGCAUAGUGAGUGCGACUGCUGCGCGAAUCUGCUGAUUCAAAAAUGGAUCUGGCAGACUGGCACAGAUGUAAAUGCUGUCUGGGUAGCUUCUGACUGUGACAGUCCAUCCAGCGGGUGCGGCGCAUAUGGGGCAGCUUCGCAGACCAGACGCGCCACAACUGAAUUGAGUCCGCCCGGCGGGUGUGGGGCGGAUCCGCAGGAGCUGCGCAGACCUGACGCGCCACAACUAACGGAACACUUUUCCCCACAUAAACCAACUCUACGUUAUGUGAUUAUGCAGAGUGGAAGACUACAGGCUGCACCGUCUUUGUGAUUAUUGACUAAUAUGACCUAAUUGAACAACGUGGGAUCUGUGCCAAAAUCUCUACCUGGAACGAAAGUCCUGAAAAUGACCACAACAGAUGACACUAUUCUCACACUACAGUUUACUUGGCAGCCAUAGUGACCUAAGGUCAUAGCAGAGCACAUGGCUGUAAAGCAAGAUGACUUGUGAGAUCAAGAAAAGAGCAGUGAGCAAGAAUCGCAGGUUGAUGCCUAACGUUAACGUUAGUCCAAUUGGGCUAGUUUUUGCCCUGGUCCUCUGACAUCCGUGAACGGCACUGCAAUUCACCGUCUGCUCGAAAAUAUUUCUCAGAACGGCUAGCCUACUCUGCGAGAGAUCUGCCGCUGCCGCGACCAAGGAACUGCUGUUGACCUGCGAGCUGCCAUGCUAGCAGCCUGCUGCACUCUGGAUUGAGUAGCCUAGCUAACGUCGAAGAACUCUCACAAAACAACAAACUGUCGCUGUCAAAGUCCACCGAGCUGCUGAUCUGCAGGACCGCCCAACUGUACUUUCAGUGCUCCCCAGACUGCCAGUAAUCUUACAUCCUCCGACACAGCUGAGCGCCGAUCAUCAUUGGACAUCAGCCGGUUAGAUGCAACGGACUAUGUUAACAUGACAUUUUCUUUUCUUUUUCUUUCAGUGCGUUUGGCGGAGUUUGUUUAUCAACAUAAGCCAAUAAAGUAGCAAAAAUUAAAAAAGACACAUUACGCUUACAUUUCA